CACAGAACGAAUGCAGAACCCUGAACCCAUCACUUCUCAACCCAGAGUCAUGCAGAAGGAGCUGCCCUGUCUCCUUCCUGUUUGAUGGCCUCUUUGUCUGCCCAGGACAUCUGCCCCAACCAGCCCUCACCAGGCCUGAGGAUCCCCACUCUCCAUCAUGGGCCUCCUGUCCCUCCCCGUGGGGCACCUGGCCCCGCCCAGAAGUCCUGAGAAUGUGGUCUGCAGCAUCCUGGUGACCUGGGGGACAUGUGGGACACUGGAUGAUGGCCAGCAGACACACAGCCCAGUGGGACAGCUCCCUCAGAAGCCAUGUGAAGGAUUUUCUCCUCAAGGGAAUUGGCAAGAAUGUUAUAAGAAACAGCCGGUAGUCCUUCCUAGCCAUCCACCUGCCACCUGGGAGCCACAAGUUUGGGAAGAUGCUGCAUAUAGAAAAUGUAAAAGGCUAAUUGCUUCUUAUCUAAACAGUGUGCUUGUCAGUCCCUAUCUGCUCUCUCUCUUUUCAGGAUGCAUUUGGAAAUUCUAAAAAAGGGGUUCCUGCCUCCUGUGAAUUUACAUUCUCAAGGAGUGGAUGAAACAAUCAAGCCAGCUUUUCCUAAGGAAGCAGCAGCCACUCUGCCUGUUGAGAUGGUGUCUGCAAAAGGCAUUCUGGAGAAGAGUGAUAUAUAUGUAUUUUAUUCAAGAAGCAAAAUACUUUGAAGGGAAAUAAGCUCCCUCUCUCCUCCCAUCAGAGAGCCUCUUCUUUUAAGAUUCUCCCACUGAUCCCGUUCUAGAAGCAGAGACGAGGCCCGACCCAGCAUCGUCUGCUGGUGGGGAUACUGACCUACGCAGGAUGCAGCUGAGGCUGCAACCUCACAUCAGCACCUUGGAAAUUGUCCAUUGCAGACAACCCUUAAUUAUCUCACCACAUAAGAGGAAGAGAACAAUAAACCAUGAGGAGGUGGAAGGA